rnacentral:hammerhead_ribozyme from 1 species
ACCCAGCUGAUGAGUCCCAAAUAGGACGAAACGCUCGUCCUGGAU